GAGCUCCAAGUGGGCCAUUUU
rnacentral:snRNA from 1 species